GAUGAACGCUAGCUACAGGCUUAACACAUGCAAGUCGAGGGGCAGCAUGGUCUUAGCUUGCUAAGGCCGAUGGCGACCGGCGCACGGGUGAGUAACGCGUAUCCAACCUGCCUUACACUCUUGGACAGCCUUCUGAAAGGGAGAUUAAUACAAGAUGUUAUCAUGAGUAAGCAUUUUCGCAUGAUUAAAGGUUUACCGGUGUAAGAUGGGGAUGCGUUCCAUUAGAUAGUAGGCGGGGUAACGGCCCACCUAGUCUUCGAUGGAUAGGGGUUCUGAGAGGAAGGUCCCCCACAUUGGAACUGAGACACGGUCCAAACUCCUACGGGAGGCAGCAGUGAGGAAUAUUGGUCAAUGGACGAGAGUCUGAACCAGCCAAGUAGCGUGAAGGAUGAAGGUUCUAUGGAUUGUAAACUUCUUUUAUACGGGAAUAAACGAAUCCACGUGUGGAUUUUUGCAUGUACCGUAUGAAUAAGGAUCGGCUAACUCCGUGCCAGCAGCCGCGGUAAUACGGAGGAUCCGAGCGUUAUCCGGAUUUAUUGGGUUUAAAGGGAGCGUAGAUGGGUUGUUAAGUCAGUUGUGAAAGUUUGCGGCUCAACCGUAAAAUUGCAAUUGAUACUGGCAGUCUUGAGUACAGUUGAGGUAGGCGGAAUUCGUGGUGUAGCGGUGAAAUGCUUAGAUAUCACGAAGAACUCCGAUUGCGAAGGCAGCUUACUAACCUGUAACUGACAUUGAUGCUCGAAAGUGUGGGUAUCAAACAGGAUUAGAUACCCUGGUAGUCCACACGGUAAACGAUGAAUACUCGCUGUAGGCGAUAUACAGUCUGCGGCCAAGCGAAAGCAUUAAGUAUUCCACCUGGGGAGUACGCCGGCAACGGUGAAACUCAAAGGAAUUGACGGGGGCCCGCACAAGCGGAGGAACAUGUGGUUUAAUUCGAUGAUACGCGAGGAACCUUACCCGGGCUUAAAUUGCAACCGAAUAUGGCGGAAACGCUAUAGCUAGCAAUAGCGGUUGUGAAGGUGCUGCAUGGUUGUCGUCAGCUCGUGCCGUGAGGUGUCGGCUUAAGUGCCAUAACGAGCGCAACCCUUGCCGAUAGUUACUAACAGGUUAUGCUGAGGACUCUGUCGGGACUGCCAUCGUAAGAUGUGAGGAAGGUGGGGAUGACGUCAAAUCAGCACGGCCCUUACGUCCGGGGCUACACACGUGUUACAAUGGGGGGGUACAGAGGGCUGCUACCACGCAAGUGGAUGCCAAUCCCAAAAACCUCUCUCAGUUCGGAUUGAAGUCUGCAACCCGACUUCAUGAAGCUGGAUUCGCUAGUAAUCGCGCAUCAGCCACGGCGCGGUGAAUACGUUCCCGGGCCU
rnacentral:rRNA from 1 species